rnacentral:rRNA from 1 species
UACGGAGGGUGCAAGCGUUAUCCGGAUUUUUUGGGUUUAAAGGGUCCGUAGGCGGAUCUGUAAGUCAGUGGUGAAAUCUCACAGCUUAACUGUGAAACUGCCAUUGAUACUGCAGGUCUUGAGUGUUAUUGAAGUAGCUGGAAUAAGUAGUGUAGCGGUGAAAUGCAUAGAUAUUACUUAGAACACCAAUUGCGAAGGCAGGUUACUAAGCAACAACUGACGCUGAUGGACGAAAGCGUGGGGAGCGAACAGG